rnacentral:tRNA from 1 species
UCCGAUAUGGUGUAGUGGCUAACAUUAUCGCCUCUCACGCUGAAACAGACAGUUGCUAGUGCGCGAUAGCCCGGGGUUCGAUUCCCCGUGUCGGAA